GCCAGUGUGACUCGGUGGUGGAGUGUUGGCCCGUGGGCCAAAGGGUUGUGGGUUCGAUUCCCUGUCAAGGGCA
rnacentral:tRNA from 1 species